AGCGAACGAGGGAGGAAGGAAGAACACAUGCAAGUCGAACGAACUCUUCGGAGUUAGUGGCGGACGGGUGAGUAACACGUGGGAACGUGCCUUUAGGUUCGGAAUAACUCAGGGAAACUUGUGCUAAUACCGAAUGUGCCCUUCGGGGGAAAGAUUUAUCGCCUUUAGAGCGGCCCGCGUCUGAUUAGCUAGUUGGUGAGGUAAAGGCUCACCAAGGCGACGAUCAGUAGCUGGUCUGAGAGGAUGAUCAGCCACAUUGGGACUGAGACACGGCCCAAACUCCUACGGGAGGCAGCAGUGGGGAAUCUUGCGCAAUGGGCGAAAGCCUGACGCAGCCAUGCCGCGUGAAUGAUGAAGGUCUUAGGAUUGUAAAAUUCUUUCACCGGGGACGAUAAUGACGGUACCCGGAGAAGAAGCCCCGGCUAACUUCGUG
rnacentral:rRNA from 1 species